CCACGGGUUAGGCAAACCUGGUGAAAGCCAGGGACGCUAAAGCUAUGGGUCUAAUGGUUUGAAAAACCUAUGAUUGCCAGGCUAUAACG
rnacentral:ncRNA from 1 species